UACGAGUGCCUCGAGCGUUAUCCGGAAUCAUUGGGCGUAAAGGGUGUGUAGGUGGUCAUAUUAGUCUUCUGUUAAAUUCUUCGGCUUAACCGGGGGCAUGCAGGGGAAACGGUAUGACUUGACGAUGCAAGAGGUCUGCGGAACUCAUAGUGUAGCGGUGAAAUGCGUUGAUAUUAUGGGGAACACCAAAAGCGAAGGCAGCAGACUGGGGCACUCGUGACACUGAAACACGAAAGCGUGGGUAGCGAAUGGG
rnacentral:rRNA from 1 species